GAAACAAACACUGCCUAAAUGUUACUGAACAAAGUCAAUGCAUUAUACCGAGGUAGCCAUGCAGCUAGAAAGCCUGACAGGUGUUGCGUGAAACACUGCAGGGAGGAGAACGGGCAGCUGUCUGAGAGCAUGACACUAAGGAGUGAAAUCAAUUACUAAGAUAUGGAGAGCUGCCAUACUGGAAAUAUGACUGGUUGCUUCUCAGAGAGAAGCUGAUGAAGCCCAAAUCUGCCACCACAAUCCACAUUGCUUACCUGAUCAAAGAGUUGCUUCCCCGUAGUGUUGGGCUGGAUGGCAAACUCCAGCUCAGCAUCCAUGGUCGUAACACGCACACUGAUCUGGAAGACAGAGAAAUG